GGUAGUCCACCCCGUAAACGUUGGGAACUAGUUGUGGGGACCAUUCCACGGUUUCCGUGACGCAGCUAACGCAUUAAGUUCCCCGCCUGGGGAGUACGGCCGCAAGGCUAAAACUCAAAGGAAUUGACGGGGACCCGCACAAGCGGCGGAGCAUGCGGAUUAAUUCGAUGCAACGCGAAGAACCUUACCAAGGCUUGACAUAUACGAGAACGGGCCAGAAAUGGUCAACUCUUUGGACACUCGUAAACAGGUGGUGCAUGGUUGUCGUCAGCUCGUGUCGUGAGAUGUUGGGUUAAGUCCCGCAACGAGCGCAACCCUCGUUCUAUGUUGCCAGCACGUAAUGGUGGGAACUCAUGGGAUACUGCCGGGGUCAACUCGGAGGAAGGUGGGGAUGACGUCAAAUCAUCAUGCCCCUUAUGUCUUGGGCUUCACGCAUGCUACAAUGGCCGGUACAAAGGGCUGCAAUACCGUGAGGUGGAGCGAAUCCCAAAAAGCCGGUCCCAGUUCGGAUUGAGGUCUGCAACUCGACCUCAUGAAGUCGGAGUCGCUAGUAAUCGCAGAUCAGCAACGCUGCGGUGAAUACGUUCCCGGGUCUUGUACACACCGCCCGUCAAGUCAUGAAAGUCGGUAACACCUGAAGCCGGUGGCCCAACCCUUGUGGAGGGAGCCGUCGAAGGUGGGAUCGGUAAUUAGGACUAAGUCGUAACAAGGUAGCCGUAGGGGAACCUGC
rnacentral:rRNA from 1 species